UACGUAGGGUGCGAGCGUUAAUCGGAAUUACUGGGCGUAAAGCGUGCGUAGGCGGUUCGCUGUGUCCGAUGUGAAAGCCCCGGGCUCAACCUGGGAACUGCAUUGGAAACUAGCGGGCUGGAGUGUGGCAGAGGGGGGUAGAAUUCCACGUGUAGCAGUGAAAUGCGUAGAUAUGUGGAGGAAUACCGAUGGCGAAGGCAGCCCCCUGGGAUAACACUGACGCUCAUGCACGAAAGCGUGGGGGAGCAAACAGG
rnacentral:rRNA from 1 species